rnacentral:rRNA from 1 species
GUGGGGAAUAUUGCGCAAUGGGGGAAACCCUGACGCAGCAACGCCGCGUGAGUGAGGAAGGACUUCGGUCUGUAAAGCUCUGUUAAUGUGGAAAAAUGGUAGUUGGUCUAAUAGGCCGAUUAUUUGAUGGUACACAUAGAGGAAGCACCGGCUAACUUCGUGCCAGCAGCCGCGGUAAUACGAAGGGUGCAAGCGUUGUUCGGAUUUAUUGGGCGUAAAGCGCGCGUAGGCGGACCUGCAAGUCAGAUGUGAAAUCUCGGGGCUCAACCCCGAAACUGCGUCGGAAACUACAGGUCUAGAAUCGUGGAGGGGGAAGGGGAAUAUCGCAUGUAGGGGUAAAAUCCGUAGAUAUGCGAUGGAACACCAGAGGCGAAGGCGCCUUCCUGGACAAGUAUUGACGCUGAGGCGCGAAAGCGUGGGGAUCAAACAGGAUUAGAUACCCCAGUAGUCC